UUCCGGCGAACUUCCGACGGUUUUCCGAUAAACUCUCGGAAACCAUUCUGCGGACUCCCGGCAAGCUCCUAGACUUCACGAUUUGGUCUUGACGAGUUCCAACGAGCUUCUUCGGCAAGCUCCGAUCUUUCUCGGUGAGCUCCGCGAACUUCCAACGAACCUUUCGGCGAGCUUCCGAAAAACCCUUCGGCAAGCUCCCUACUCAUUCUCGGCUAGUUCCGGCAGCAUUCCCGACGAACCUUCGGACUUCCGUCGAACUCUCGAACUCGCAAUGAAUCCUUCAUGCUU
rnacentral:lncRNA from 1 species